UUGUAUUUAACGUUGAAUUCUUAAAUUCUUAAAAGCCGGCUGCAAAAAAGCUCCACAUUUUUUAACAGAAAAAAUAAAAAGGAAAAGCAACUCUUUCAUACCAUAACGAAAAUUUCUUUCUUUGCCUAUUUUAUUCCUCUGAACUCUGGAGUUUCAACUGAUCAAAGCAUCCCUUUGAGUCGUAAACAUGAACGACUUACUCACGGAUUCAUUUGUUGGUGAUGCCCAAGGCCAUGGUGAUAUUGAAAUGGGAAGACAGGUUCCCGGAAGUAACUCCGACAUGGGAAUGGAAGCUUUCAAUAAGCAGAUACAAGAGGUUGAGAAACAGGUGGAGAAGCUCUCUGUGUUACUUAGGAAACUCAAGGAUGCUAAUGAGGAAUCAAAGUCGGUUACAAAGGCAUCUGCCAUGAAAGCUAUCAAGAAGCGAAUGGAGAAAGAUAUUGAUGAGGUUGGAAAGAUAGCACGUAAUGUCAAAGCAAGAUUAGAAGCUAUCAACAAAGAUAACUUAGCCAAUCGGCAGAAACCUGGAUGUGAGAAGGGAACAAGCAUUGACAGAUCCAGGAUGAAUGUUACAAAUGCUCUGGCAAUAAAAUUCAAGGAUUUGAUGAUAGAGUUUCAGACUCUCAGACAAAAGAUCCAGGAUGAGUAUCGUGAGGUUGUGGAAAGAAGGGUCAUUACAGUCACUGGAACCAGACCAGACGAACAGACAAUUGACCGCCUCAUUGAAACUGGAAACAGUGAGCAAAUCUUCCAAAAGGCAAUUCAAGAACAGGGACGAGGACAGGUAUUAAAUACAGUGGAGGAAAUCCAAGAAAGGCAUGAUGCUGUGAUGGGGAUAGAGAAAAAGCUUCUUGAUUUGCAACAGAUUUACCUUGACAUGGCAGUUCUUGUUGAAGCCCAAGGAGAAAUUUUGGAUAACAUUGAAAGCCAGGUUACAAAUGCAGUGGACCAUGUGCAAUCGGGUACAGAUGCCCUCAGAACUGCAAAGAGCUUGCAGAAGAAGUCGAGAAAAUGCAUGAUGAUCUCCAUCAUCUUGCUCCUCAUUAUUGCAAUCAUCGUCGUGCUCUCGAUUUUGAAGCCUUGGAAGAAAUGAACAGAGGAAACUAGAUUCCAUCACUUCAUCCCCUUCUCUAUCCUUGCAUUUAUAACAGCCAACAAUAGCAAUUCUAUGUUGGGAUAACAAUCAUCUGCAUGCUCUCAAGGUCAGUACUGAAAUGUCUUCAGAUAAAUUACUAAUAAGAGAAACUGAAGGAAAUGAUGAGAUCAUAAAUAGUUACAUGCUAGAAAAGUAAAGGAAAUGACAUAAUAGUUUGCUCCUAUGAAUUUCAAUGGUAACACCUAUUUUUUUCUAUUGACUAUAUGCAAGGUUCUUCGGUUUCAAUGACUAAACCCACAGUGCUUCACAGGCUGGAUAUUGUAUCAUAUGAUUAAAUGAAAGAAUUUCAUUUGCAGCAUCACCACAUAUAACCUAACACUAAUUGUCAAAGACCAUGUUUUAAGAGAACCUAGCCUUUUCGCAUAAUGAAAGCUAUUUGCAUUUGA